rnacentral:lncRNA from 1 species
UGGGGUCAUUUAAUGGGAUUUUGGGAGUGGAAAUUGGGGUCAUUUUAAGGGAUUUCAGGCUGAAUUUCAGGACAGGUUUUGGGGUCAUUUCAUGGGAUUUUGGGCUGGAUUUUGGGGUCAUUUUGUGGCAUUUCAGGCUGGAUUUCAGGACAGAUUUUGGGGUGAUUUAAUUGGAUUUUGGGGUCAUUUAAUGGGAUUUUGGGAGUGGAUUUUGGGGUCAUUUUAAGGGAUUUCAGGCUGGAUUUCUGGACAGAUUUUGGGGUCAUUUCAUGGGAUUUCAGGCUGGAUUUUGGGGUCAUUUUAUGGGAUUUCAGGCUGGAUUUUGGGGUCAUUUAAUGGGAUGUCAGGCUGGAAUUGGGGCAGGAUUUUGGGGUCAUUUCAUGGAAUUUCAGGCUGGAUUUUGAGACAGAUUUCAGAACAAUUCUGCAGAAUCCCAGGAUACAUUUUGGGGUAAUUCCAAGGGAUUUGGGGCUGGAUUUUGGGGUAAUUCCACAACAUUUCAGGGUAGGAUUUUGGGGUAAUUCCACGGGAUUCCAGGGCAGAUUUUGGGGUAAUUCCACGGGAUUUGGGGGUAGGAUUUUGGGGGUAAUUCCACAACAUUUCAGGGUAGGAUUUUGGGGUAAUUCCACGGGAUUUGGGGGUAGGAUUUUGGGGUAAUUCCACGGGAUUUCAGGGAAGAUUUUGGGGUAAUUCCACAACAUUUCAGGGUAGUAUUUUGGGGUAAUUCCACGGGAUUUCAGGGAAGAUUUUGGGGUAAUUCCGCGGGGUUUUGGGGUGGUUUUUGGGGAUUUUGGGUUUCUCAGAGCAUGCCACGCUCGGGGCGUGAGAGUUUGGGGCAAAUCCAGCAGAUUUUGGGGCAAUUCCAAGGGAUUUUGGGAGUGGAUUUUGGGGUCAUUUUGUGUGAUUUCAGACUGGAUUUGGGGCUGGAUUUUGGGGUCAUUUAAUGGGAUUUUGGGAGUGGAAUUUGGGGUGAUUUCAUGGGAUUUUGGGAGUGGAUUUUGGGGUCGUUUUGUGUGAUUUCAGGCUGGAUUUCAGGACAGAUUUUGGGGUCAUUUCAUGGGAUUUUGGGGCUGAAUUUUGGGGUAAUUUUGUGUGAUUUCAGGCUGGAUUUUGGGGUGAUUUAAUGGGAUUUUGGGGUUAAAUUUCAUGGGAUUUCAGGCUGGAUUUUGAGACAGAUUUCAGAACAAUUCUGCAGAAUCUCAGGAUACAUUUUGGG